rnacentral:lncRNA from 1 species
GGACAGUGGCUGCCUCGUGAUGCCGCCAUUCUCGCCUUACUCGGCCACAGUUCCAUGGCACACUGGAACCCGAGCUAUUCUCUCGCAGAUCUUUCCAAAGUAUGGGAACUACUGCGGACCAAACUGGUCGAGCGGUCGACAAAAAGGAUCACUGGUUUGGGACGUACCUCCGGUGGACUGGCUGGAUUACUGCUGCUUCAAGCACGACGUUGGCUACGACAGCCAUAGCCAGGAAGAUCUCUACAAGGCCGACUUGGAGCUUUUGGAGUGUUUGCGAAGGAUGCC